GAUGGCUCACGCCUGUAAUCCCAGCACUUUGGGAGGCCCAGCAUGACAACUGGCAAGAUUCCAAGAGGUGGAAUGGGGGCUCCUUCAGCUUGUGUCCCUGAGAGAGGACAAUGUGGUGAAGCAAUGGAACCUCCAAUGGACAUAUGACGUUAACUGAAUGUGGGAAGGAAUAACAGGAAUGACGUCAUUGUCUACAGGCAACUGAAGGUGCAGAGGGAAAUACAGAGACCACCUUGCCAAUGGCUUGUGAAAACUUAGAUGCUUUUGGAAAGAAGGUGGGUGCUAAAUCCCAGAAGGUGCUCAUGUUAAUGGCUUAAACAAAUUGUGGAUUUAUUCUCCCUCAUAAAAGAAGUCUGGAAGUUGUCGGUCAAGGGUUGAUAACAGUGUUGAUGAUUCACUCAGCUAUCAGCCAAGAAGCUUCCUGCCUCUACUGUAAAUGAAGCCUGAAAUAUCCAAGCUACAUUAUCGCUAACUUGCCUAUGGUGGGACAUCUGUGGUUUUCUCCAUCUGGUUUCUAACUCCUACUGAUACAGAACGGCUAAAUUCCACCCUCAAGCCUGGACCCUCAGCCUUAAGUCAAAACAGCUGACCCUGAUACAGAACGGCUGAGCUCCUGUCUAAACUCCACCCUCAAGCCUGGACCCUCAGCCCUAAUCAAAACAGCUGACCCUGUUGCCUUUGUGGCCCACCCCACCUCCUAUCUUGUGCUUGCCUUUUGGCCCACCCAAUCCCCUAGCCUUUGCCCAUAAAAAGACUUCAGCUGGUGGAGCAAAAAGAGGUAGCUGAUGUAAGUGUUUGGGGAUGCAAGCUGCUGAACAUCAGGGUUACAUGCAGCUGAGCAUCCGAGACUAAGGAUAGACUCGGCUAACUUCAGAUGGUGCGGCUUCAGGAAAAGAUCACUUUCUUCCCAUACCAUCCCUUUACCAAUUCCCCAUCCCGCUGAUAGCCACUUUUAUUGCCCAAUAAAC